GUACUGGGACUCAGAGGGGUUUCUAUGACUACGGGACCCCUCCGACUAGUACCCUGCAAAUGCUUGUCUGACAUUGGCUUGGAGGCCGGGCGAGGUGGCUCAUGCCUGUAAUCCCAGCACUUUGGGAGGCCGAGGCGGGCGGAUCACGAGGUCAGGAGACCGAGACCAUCCUGGCUAACACGGUGAAACCCCGUCUCUACUAAAAAUACAAAAAAAAAUUAGCCGGGCAUGGUGGCGGGCACCUGUAGUCCCAGCUACUCGGUAGGCUGAGCCAGGAGAAUGGCGCGAACCCGGGAGGCGGAGCUUGCAGUGAGCCGCACCACUGCACUCCAGCCUGGGCGACAGAGUGAUACUCCGUCUCAAAAAAAAAAAAAAAAAAAGAAAGAAAUUGGCUUGGAGAUUUUUCGCCGGCCACUCCUUCUUGAGCCCUGACUGAAAAGGAAGAGUGGAGAAGAAGAGACUCACAUUUACCACGUGCCAUCGGGAAUCCCUUGCAGUCAGCCCAUGCAGUGAGCCUUACUAGGCCCACUUUACAGGUGUGGCAGUUGGGGCUCACAGAGGUGACUUGCUAGCCAGUGAAUACAGAAGUGAGAUUCAACUGAGAUUUGCCUGGCCGUUCAGUCUGAGCACCUUCUGCUGUCCCACAUGGUGAAGCUCAUCCUGACAUAAAUGCAUAUCUCCAAAUUUCAAGGAGUCAUUUUGGAUCUGAUUGGAGGCUCCCAAAUUCCCAGAACAUCAAGCUCUUUGAGGACCAAUGAAGUAGGUUCAAAGAGUUGACUAAGAUCACACAGGCUUCUAGGAAAACAUACGCAGAACUCUGGAUGAAUAUGUACUGUACUUUGAUUGGCUACUCAGCUAUUAGCAGGAAUUUCUUUACCUGAUUAUGUCUCUGGGUCUUUCUGGGACUUUUCUCAUCUGUAAAAAGGGGCCCCUGGAUUCAGCAGGGGUAAUGAAUUUUAUUCUCCAUUGUCAACUUCAGUCAAUAGAGGUGGCUCUGUGAUGCUGUGUUGAGAAGGGUCAGACACCUUGUCCAGGUUCAAAGAGAAAGAGUGCUAGGACUGGUUAGCAGUAUCUGAGGGGUGUAAGAAGGGGACCUGGUGGGAUAUCUUCAAUGUAGUUGUAGAUCUCAGAGAAAAUCAGUACCAUCCCCCCAUGCUUCCCGUAGCUUUUGUUGAUUUGUGGUGAGCAGGCUGAACAUCCCGCUUCCCCACUUACAGCAGUUUGACUUAUUAAGUCAAUAAUAUAUACUUAUUAAGUAUAUGUUGAUUUCUUACUAUGUAAACAGAGGAAAUUAUUCAGCAAAUACAAAGAUGUAAGACAAACAAGCUUAGAGUCUAACAAUAUGGAUAAGACAUACUCAAAGUACUAAAAACAAAGCAAUAUGUAACAAGUGUCCUAAGAGAGGUAUAUCUGAAGAGUUAAAGAGUCUCAGCUGGGCAUGGUUGCUAAUGCUUGUAAUCCCAGCACUUUGGGAGACUGAAGUGGGAGGAUCGCUUGAGCACAGAAGUUUGAGACCAGCCUGGGUGACAGUGAGACCCAAUCUCUACAGUUUUUUUUUUAAAUUAGCUGGGCUUAGUGUCAUAUGCCUGUGGUCCCAGCUACUUGGGGAACUGAGAUAGGAGGAUCACUUGAGCCCAGGAGACUGAGGCUGCAGUAAGCCAUGAUCAUGCCACCGCACUCUGGUCUGGGCAACAAAGCAAGAUCCUGCCAAAAAAAAAAAAAAAAAAAAAGGUUCAGAGAAUAUGACAUUACGUCCAAUUAGAUUAAUCAGAAAAGGUGAGUUUUGAAGUGUAGGAAUCUUUUUAAGGCAGAACUGAGGGGCAUGGGUGGAGUGUUGUGAGAAGGAAAAAGAAUUACUAGCAACAGUUCACAAGGGGAAAUGCAACAGGGCUGGGAUUAGUUAGGGUGAGGCAAGUGAAGUGCCUUGCACAAUGCUGGUGGUGAGCACCCAUUUAAUGUUUGCAACCUGGUUACCUCAUCCACUUCACUCCUCACCCUGAAACACAAGGAACACAAGAGGAGUGGCAAAUGGAAGGCUGGGAAAAAUAAACAGGGCUACCUUCUGCCUGGACUCACCCAAAAGCUGCAACGGUCUCACUGCAGCCUGAAGCUCUUGUACCUCUAGGCUGAAGAUGAUGAGGAUCACAAGGAGGAGGAAGGCUGCCAACUUCAUGUUGCUGUUGGAAGGCUUUGGAAAAACACAGCACGGCUGAGAGCAGCUGAAAUUUAUACCUGCCACCCACUGAGCUGGAAUGCAAGGCCAGGGGUGGGACUAGGGACAGCAGACACCUAAGCCCUGCCCAGAAACUGACGUUUCUGGAGAACAGCCACCCACCCUGUGUACCCUGGGUCCUUCCACAUUACCUAAGCAAGGCUCUGAGCCAAGGGAACACCCUCCUCUGACACACAAGUAAGACUCCUACAUCUGGCUGAGUGCAGUGGCUCACAUCUGUAAUCCCAGCACUUUGGGAGGCCGAGGCAGGAGGAUCACUUGAGCCCAGGAGUUCAAGACCAGCCUGGGUAACAAGAGCAAGACCCUGUCUAUACAAAAUUAAAGAAAAAAAUUAAAUAAUGGAAAAGACUCCUAAAUCAAAAAA